rnacentral:rRNA from 1 species
GACGAACGCUGGCGGCGUGCUUAACACAUGCAAGUCGAACGAUGAAGCUAGAGCUUGCUCUGGUGAAUUAGUGGCGAACGGGUGAGUAACACGUGAGUAACCUGCCCCGAACUCUGGGAUAACUGCUGGAAACGGUAGCUAAUACUGGAUACGACCUACGAAGGCAUCUUCUGUAGGUGGAAAGAAUUUCGGUUCGGGAUGGACUCGCGGCCUAUCAGCUUGUUGGUGAGGUAAUGGCUCACCAAGGCGACGACGGGUAGCCGGCCUGAGCGGGUGACCGGCCACACUGGGACUGAGACACGGCCCAGACUCCUACGGGAGGCAGCAGUGGGGAAUAUUGCACAAUGGGCGCAAGCCUGAUGCAGCAACGCCGCGUGAGGGAUGACGGCCUUCGGGUUGUAAACCUCUUUUAGUAGGGAAGAAGCGAAAGUGACGGUACCUGCAGAAAAAGCACCGGCUAACUACGUGCCAGCAGCCGCAGUAA